rnacentral:rRNA from 1 species
AUGUUGGCUUAGAAGCAGCCACUCAUUCAAAGAGUGCGUAAUAGCUCACUGGUCGAGUGAUCCUGCGCCGAAGAUUUCCGGGGCUAAAACUUACUACCGAAGCUACGGCAUCAGUAAUGAUGGGGAGGGGAGCUUCCCAUACGGGUUGAAGCAUGACCGUAAGGACAUGUGGACAGUAUGGGAGUGAGAAUGUUGGCAUGAG